GAGUUUGAUCUUGGCUACAGGAUGAACGCUGGCGGCGUGCCUAAUACAUGCAAGUCGAGCGAACCACCUUGGUGGUGAGCGGCGGACGGGUGAGUAACACGUAGGUAACCUGCCCAUAAGAUGGGGACAACCACCGGAAACGGUGGCUAAUACCGAAUAAAAUUUUCUCUCGCAUGAGAGGGAAUUGAAAGGCGGCGCAAGCUGCCGCUUAUGGAUGGACCUGCGGUGCAUUAGCUAGUUGGUGAGGUAACGGCUCACCAAGGCAACGAUGC
rnacentral:rRNA from 1 species